AAAGAACAUGAAGGGAAAUCAAGUUGGAGAGGUAGUUUAUUACGACACCAUCAAAGCUGUAUACCCAGGGGAAGAGUUGCUUGUAUAUUAUGGACACGGGUAUGCAGAUAUAUUAGGAACUGAAAGAAUCGAACCGAUGGCAGAUCCUCCAGAAAAUGCAUCGAUUUUAUACGAUAAUGAAUAUGAAGUAACGGUAGAAACGGGCCACUUAUUCGAAGCUGGGACUGAUGCAACAAUCUACGUCACAGCGGAG